GGGUCAGUAGGUUGGUCGUGCCACCGGUACGUACUGGUCUCACUGAAUCCUCCUUCCUGAAGAACCGUAAUGCCAUUAAUUUGGUGUUGCGGGGAAACAGGACUGUUACUUUGAAAGAUUAGAGUGUUUAAAGCAAACUAACGCUUGAAUACAUUAGCAUGGAAUAAUGAAAUAGGACGAUCGAUCCUAUUUUGUUGGUUUCUAGGAUUGACGUA
rnacentral:rRNA from 1 species